GGCUCCGUAGCUCAACUGGCGAGAGCUGCCGGCUCUUAACCGGCACGGUGCAGGUUCGGCUCCUGCCGGGGCCA
rnacentral:tRNA from 1 species